UUUCCGUAGGUGAACCUGCGGAAGGAUCAUUAUUGAAAAAGACAAGACGCCCCGUUUUUUCGUAAAAUGGGUUCAAUACCCACAACCGUGUAUACCUUACCUUUUGUUGCUUUGGCAGGCCGCCUCCGGGCGUUGGCUUCGGCUGACAGCGCCUGCCAGAGGACCCAAACUCUGUGUUUAGUGAUGUCUGAGUAAUAUAUAAUAUUUUAAAACUUUCAACAACGGAUCUCUAGGUUCUG
rnacentral:misc_RNA from 1 species